rnacentral:rRNA from 1 species
UACGUAGGGUGCGAGCGUUGUCCGGAAUUAUUGGGCGUAAAGGGCUCGUAGGCGGUCUGUUGCGUCAGGAGUGAAAACUCGGGGCUUAACCCCGAGCCUGCUUCUGAUACGGGCAGACUAGAGGUAUGCAGGGGAGAACGGAAUUCCUGGUGUAGCGGUGAAAUGCGCAGAUAUCAGGAAGAACACCCGUGGCGAAGGCGGCUCUCUGGAACGCAACUGACGCUGAGACGCGAAAGCGUGGGGAGCAAACAGG